UUACUUUACCAAACCAAAUGAAAAUAAACCAUCAAAACAAAAAAAAUUGAAAACCCAUCUUCUUCCCUUACACCCCCACGCAUACUAGUAAAAAACAACACUUCAACUCUCACCAUAGACUCAUUGAUAGGUACUGGUUUGAAGCGAUUCAACGAAAACGCUAGUUCUCAUCCUCUAUUGUAACAUUCUUUCCAAUCCGACCGUGACCGUUAUGUGGUUCUAAACAAAUUCCUUUCCUCGACCACCACAAUCUCUUGAAUCGCCAACGAGUCCUCCACCCAUCGGACAUCUCGCUUCUGAAUGAAGCCUUCCUUCGCCAGCAGGUGAGCCACCCGAUUACCUCCCCUUUUGAUAUGCUGAAAUUUGAAGCUUUCAAAACCCAUUAUAAUUUUUUUACCUUCCCAAAUGUAAUUACUAACCUCCGAUCUAUCCAUACCUUGCAUCUUGAUCUUUGAAAUAAUCACCAAUGAGUCUCCUUCAACCUUGAAUUUUUGAAACCCCAUCUCUUGGGCAAAUCGGACGGCCUGAACGGCUGCCAAAGCUUUCACCGCCUCCACAGACGGGUAUGUCUUUAGGCAACCAGGCUAUAUCCCAAACUAGUAUUGAUUUUCCAUCGUCAACUUGCCAGCUACUCCUUUCAACAAGAGCUCCUUUGCUACCCAAAUGCUCCUCCAUGUAGUCAAAGGUUGACUCCCUAACUCAACUUGUAAAAAUUCACUACUUUCGUAGUGUUUUGCUUCCAAUACACGUGCUACCAAUGAUGUAGGAUUACAAAUUAACUGCAACCCCUGCUUGGCCAAAAGUGCAAAAUUAAACUUCGUUAGAUUUUGGAAAUCUAAUCCCCCGCGCUCAUUCAAAUUGCCCAACCUCUCCUAUGAACACCAAUGAAUCUCACGAUUUGACUAUGAUUUUUACCACCAAUAACGAUAGAGUCCUGUUUCUAUUUCCUCACAAAAAGAAUUAGGCCUAAAGGUAGACUAACAUGUUAGCUGAGUUGUAAGACAUAACUUUAAGGCAGAAAGAGAGUGGACGGCUCUCGAUGUUUCAACACAGAGCUUAGAUGUCGUAGCAUAAACCAUAGGUUGUCAUGACACAACCAUAAAGACACACUCAAAGAAGCAAUUUGCCAUCAGUUUCAUGACACAAGCUUGAUGGUGUCAUGACACCGAUACGAUGUGGCCAAUUAAUGAAGUAAAGGUGUUUUUGUCUGUGCAACACAAAUUAAUGAAGUUUAGUCAGCCAUUUUAGACCUGUUAGUGUAGGGACGAAUAUUAGUUUAAUCAAGCCUCCUUUGGGUACGAUCCUUAGAGUAUUUCUUGUACUUCGUUGUACAAAAUUAUAUUACAACCUGACCCGUAUAUUUGCAAGCACCGCCUUAAUUCAUAUAUUUAGUUGUAGUAUUCUCACUUCCAACGUGUUGGGAAAUGCGCCCAUAUUGUAGUAAACAUGUAACUAUUUUCUAUUUAUUUCAAUGAUGAAUAAAUAAAUAAAAUUAAUUUCACAUUUCA